AAAAAGACAAACCAUGGGUUUCCGUGUGCAACGUUUGAAUGUCCGUCUUAUAUAAAUUUUUUUUAUAAUUAGUAUUUUCAUUAUUGUUAGACGAUAAAACAUGAUUAAUACUUUAUGCGUGACUUAUCUUUUAAUUUUUUUUCAUAAUUUUUUUAAAUAAAACGGACGAUCAAAUGUUGGACACGGAAACUAGGGUUAGCCUUUUU
rfam:Oryza sativa Japonica Group DNA, chromosome 2, cultivar: Nipponbare, complete sequence.